AUUUCCUAUCAUUUUGCAGUUUUACAUUCGUAUUUGUAUUUGAGUUUCAACUGUAAAUUGUUUUCAAGAAUUUUGUAAUAAAAAUGAAGUGUUUGUCUGUUAGUUUAUGUUUUGAUUGUUUCCAUUUAAAAAAUUAUUCAGUGUUGUCCACGUACUAGUUGUUAUAUAAAAAUUGUUGUCCUCCUUACGGUGUCUAGUAGCGACAUUUUAUCCUCCAACCAUUAUACAUAUUUAACUUGCUAUUUUUUUUUUAGAUGGCAGUACAGCAGAUCAUUCAAUACAUGCCGAGACAUGAAUUCACAUUUCUACCACUAUGCUAAAUAUCAAUAUCCUACGUUGAAAAUGUACUAGACGAUACUGCUAAUAACAAGGGUUUUGUGCAACGUGCGUGUAAUGGAUGGCAGUACAGCAGAUCACUCAAUACAUGCUGAGACAUGAAUUCACAUUUCUACCACUAUGCAAAACAUCAACAUCCUACGUUGAAAAUGGACUAGACAGUACUGCUAAUAAUAAUGGUUUUGUGCAACGUGCGUGUAAUGGAUGGCAGUACUGCAGAUCACUGGAGGCAUGCUGAGACAUGAAUUAACAUUUCUAUCACUUGGGAAAGUUACAACAUUUUCCGUUGAAAAUGGAAUAGAAGAUGGCAGUAUAUCAGAUCAAUCAAGGCAUGCUGAGACACGAAUUCACAUUUCUACCACUAAGGAGAGUAUCAACAUCCUAGGUUGAAAAUGGACUAGAAGAUACUGAUAAUAAUAUUGGAUUUAUGCAAUGGUUAUUGAAUAUAAUUGAUACUAAAUUAAUAGCUGUGAAACAAUUGAGAUUUGUUAAAUAUCUGAAUAAAAUAAUAGUAAACAA